AACGAGAAGAACCUUACCUACUCUUGACAUCCAGAGAACUUAGCAGAGAUGCUUUGGUGCCUUCGGGAACUCUGAGACAGGUGCUGCAUGGCUGUCGUCAGCUCGUGUUGUGAAAUGUUGGGUUAAGUCCCGCAACGAGCGCAACCCUUAUCCUUUGUUGCCAGCGGUCMGGCCGGGAACUCAAAGGAGACUGCCAGUGAUAAACUGGAGGAAGGUGGGGAUGACGUCAAGUCAUCAUGGCCCUUACGAGUAGGGCUACACACGUGCUACAAUGGCGCAUACAAAGAGAAGCGACCUCGCGAGAGCAAGCGGACCUCAUAAAGUGCGUCGUAGUCCGGAUUGGAGUCUGCAACUCGACUCCAUGAAGUCGGAAUCGCUAGUAAUCGU
rnacentral:rRNA from 1 species